rnacentral:lncRNA from 1 species
AGGACGGACCGAGUGUUCCUGAACCAGCAGCUUCCUGCCGAAGCAGGAGGAAAGGUGCGGCCCAGCCAGCAAGAGAAAGGCAGCUGGUGGCACACAACGCCGUGUCCUCGUGCCCUGCUUCACCAGCCUGGCACCGUGUGACUUCUGGCUCAUCCCCCGAGUUGAAAUGCUUGAGAAGGGUAAACUCUGGGUGGACAUCGAUGCUGGAAAUCGAGGCGGCCCCGACAGCACGGCCAAAGAUCACGCCGCCUAUUGGCAGCUUUGAGCCAACGACCCAACGAGUGAAUGGACAAAGUAGCAAACGGGCCGCCAGGACACGAGACUCACCGGUGAUCCCCAGUGCCCGUGUCCCCAGGGAGAGCGCAGGUAAGUGAAGGGACCCACAGAAGGCCAGGGCCUGUGCAUGGAGACCCUGCUGGCCCGCAGUGCCCGUGGGGGGCCACGUCCCUUCCUGCACCUGUCCCGCCACUCAGGAGAGCCAGCUCUGUGGCCUCCCAAGGACCGAUCUCCUCGGGGCACCCUCAGGCCACCCCGGGCCCUGGCCGCCUCAUACACGGACACAGCUG